rnacentral:rRNA from 1 species
UAGGGAAUCUUCGGCAAUGGACGGAAGUCUGACCGAGCAACGCCGCGUGAGUGAAGAAGGUUUUCGGAUCGUAAAGCUCUGUUGUAAGAGAAGAACGAGUGUGAGAGUGGAAAGUUCACACUGUGACGGUAUCUUACCAGAAAGGGACGGCUAACUACGUGCCAGCAGCCGCGGUAAUACGUAGGUCCCGAGCGUUGUCCGGAUUUAUUGGGCGUAAAGCGAGCGCAGGCGGUUAGAUAAGUCUGAAGUUAAAGGCUGUGGCUUAACCAUAGUAGGCUUUGGAAACUGUUUAACUUGAGUGCAAGAGGGGAGAGUGGAACUCCAUGUGCAGCGGUGAAAUGCGUAAAUAUAUGGAGGAACACCGGUGGCGAAAGCGGCUCUCUGGCUUGUAACUGACGCUGAGGCUCGAAAGCGUGGGGAGCAAACAGGAUUAGAUACCCUGGUAGUCCACGCCGUAAACGAUGAGUGCUAGGUGUUAGACCCUUUCCGGGGUUUAGUGCCGUAGCUAACGCAUUAAGCACUCCGCCUGGGGAGUACGACCGCAAGGUUG